UACGUAGGCAGCAAGCGUUGUUCGGAGUUACUGGGCGUAAAGGGUGUGUAGGCGGUUCCUUAAGUUUUGCUGUGAAAAUCUCCCGGCUUAACCGGGAGGGUGCGGUGAAUACUGAGGGACUAGAGUACGGGAGAGGAAAAGUGGAAUUCCUGGUGUAGCGGUGAAAAUGCGUAGAUAUCAGGAGGAACACCGGUGGUGUAGACGGCUUU
rnacentral:rRNA from 1 species